AGUAGAUAGAGUUUUCCUAUAUAAGAACUCACUUAACCUGAACCUGUACAUAACUUUUUGUAAACGAUUAUUGGAUGCUAGUGUCGUAUGGCGUAUGAUGAUUAUUAAUAACUCAUUCGC
rnacentral:snoRNA from 1 species